UCCGGUUUGUCACCGGCAGUCCCAUUAGAGUGCUCAACUGAAUGUAGCAACUAAUGGCAAGGGUUGCGCUCGUUGCGGGACUUAACCCAACAUCUCACGACACGAGCUGACGACAGCCAUGCAGCACCUGUGUUCCCGUUCCCUUUCGGGCACAGCCCACUUUCAUGGUUCUACCACAUGCAUGUCAAGGCCAGGUAAGGUUCUUCGCGUUGCAUCGAAUUAAGCCACAUACUCCACCGCUUGUGCAGGCCCCCGUCAAUUUCUUUGAGUUUCAACCUUGCGGCCGUACUUCCCAGGCGGAAUACUUAAUGCGUUAGCUGCGGCACCGGCGGUAAACCGCCGACACUUAGUAUUCAUAGUUUAAGGCGUGGACUAC
rnacentral:misc_RNA from 1 species